rnacentral:rRNA from 1 species
GACGAACGCUGGCGGCGUGCUUAACACAUGCAAGUCGAACGGAAAGGCGCUGCUUUUGUGGCGUGGUCGAGUGGCGAACGGGUGAGUAACACGUGAGUAACCUGUCCUUGACUUUGGGAUAACUUCAGGAAACUGGGGCUAAUACCGGAUAGGAGCUCCUGCUCCAUGGGGGGGGUUGGAAAGUGUCGGCGGUUGGGGAUGGACUCGCGGCUUCUCAGCUGGUUGGUGGGGUAGUGGCUUACCCAGGCUUUGACGGGUAGCAGGCCUGAGAGGGUGACCGGCCACAUUGGGCCUGAGAUACGGCCCAGACUCCUACGGGAGGCAGCAGUGCGGAAUAUUGCACAAUGGGCGGAAGCCUGAUGCUGCAACGCCGCGUGCCGUAUGACGGCCUUCGGGUUGUAAACCGCAUGCGCCUGUGACGAAGCGUGAGUGACGGUAAUGGGUAAAGAAGCACCGGCUAACUACGUG